GAUGAACGCUGGCGGCGUGCCUAACACAUGCAAGUCGAACGAAGCUCCUUGACUUGAGUUUUCGGACAAGAUGAUAGGAUGACUUAGUGGCGGACGGGUGAGUAAUGCGUGAGCAACCUGCCCUUCGGAGGGGGACAACAGCUGGAAACGGCUGCUAAUACCGCAUAACGUACAGAGGUCGCAUGGCUUUUGUACCAAAGAUUUAUCGCCGAGGGAUGGGCUCACGUCUGAUUAGUUAGUUGGUGGGGUAACGGCUCACCAAGACUGCGAUCAGUAGCCGGACUGAGAGGUUGACCGGCCACAUUGGGACUGAGAUACGGCCCAGACUCCUACGGGAGGCAGCAGUGGGGAAUAUUGGGCAAUGGGCGCAAGCCUGACCCAGCAACGCCGCGUGAAGGAAGAAGGCUUUCGGGUUGUAAACUUCUUUUAUAGGGGACGAAACAAAUGACGGUACCCUAUGAAUAAGCUCCGGCUAACUACGUGCCAGCAGCCGCGGUAACA
rnacentral:rRNA from 1 species